AGCAGCCGCGGUAAUUCCAGCUCCAAUAGCGUAUAUUAAAGUUGUUGCAGUUAAAAAGCUCGUAGUUGAAUUUCGGGGUCAGUAGUUUGGUCGUGCCAAUGGUAUGUACUGGGCUCACUGAUUCCUCCUUCCUGAUGAACUGUAAUGCCAUUAAUUUGGUGUUGCAGGGAAACUGGACUGUUACUUUGAAAAAAUUAGAGUGUUUAAAGCAAGCUAACGCUUGAAUACAUUAACAUGGAAUAAUGAAAUAGGACGUUCGAUCCUAUUUCGUUGGUUUCUAGGAUUGACGUAAUGAUUAAUAGGGAUAGUUGGGGGCAUUAGUAUUCAAUUGUCAGAGGUGAAAUUCUUGGAUUUAUUGAAGACUAACUACUGCGAAAGCAUUUGCCAAGGAUGUUUUCAUUAAUCAAGAACGAAAGUUAGGGGAUCGAAGACGAUCAGAUACCGUCGUAGUCUUAACCAUAAACUAUGCCGACUAGGGAUCGGAUGAUAUUAAUUUUUAAUGACUCAUUCGGCGCCUUAC
rnacentral:rRNA from 1 species